rnacentral:tRNA from 1 species
GGGGCCAUGGCUCAGUUGGUAGAGUGCGUGCUUAGCAUGCACCAGGUCCUGGGUUCAAUCCCCAGUACCUCCA